GCCCUUUUAUUUCAGCGCGAUGUGCUUAUAUGGAUACUGCCGGGUCCGCCCGGCUAUGAGGAUAAACGACGGCGUGCAAUAGGCGCAGCGGACCCGGGGGCAGUACCCGGCGGCUCCACCAUAACCGGUGGUGUAUCUGGACACCGUUUCUGACGGGGCCGAACC
rnacentral:tmRNA from 1 species